rnacentral:rRNA from 1 species
ACCGAGAUUCCCCCAGUAGCGGCGAGCGAACGGGGAGCAGCCCAGAGCCUGAAUCAGCAUGUGUGUUAGUGGAACGGUCUGGAAAGGCCGGCGAUACAGGGUGACAGCCCCGUACACAAAAGUGCAUGUGUUGUGAGCUCGAUGAGUAGGGCGGGACACGUGGUAUCCUGUCUGAAUAUGGGGGGACCAUCCUCCAAGGCUAAAUACUCCUGACUGACCGAUAGUGAACCAGUACCGUGAGGGAAAGGCGAAAAG